AUCCUCGUAGCCUGGGCUCUGGGCGCGCAAGACCCUCAGGGCCAGCGGGAAGUUAGGUGACUUGGGACCCCCUUCCCCCCCCCCCCCCCCCACGCGAGAGUCUUCCACCAAAGGCCUGGGACGCUGGGGUCCCAGACCUUGUUUGGUAUUGAUCCGGAAAGUGAACCGAAAGUUUAUUCAAAGCAAAUAAUGCUUUCAGCCUGUUUCCCAUUUGUGCCCAGCACCAGGGCUCCUGAGUAUGCCUUGUUGCUCUGAGCCCACCAGAGAGCAUCUGAGCGCACCUGCACCCUGUCUCUAGAACUUGCCAUCCUGUGGGCUCUGUGUGUCUACCCUAAGAAGACAUUCCUUUGCAUCUUCCUGAUGCACUUCCUUGACUCCCGUGUACCACAGCCUCUGCCCCCAGGCCAUGGCCUGUGGUUCCUCUCUCUCAUCCAUUUUCCAGAGUGUGUGCAGGAUAAAGUCCCUGGUCUGGUUUUCUGAGGAGGGUAGCGAAGACUACAACUCUGAUGUGCAUUCCUGCCGUUGGACAACGGGUUUGCCCCUGUAAACCAGCGGAAUCGGGUCACUUCCACUUUCCCUUGUCUUUUUAGGUGUGCGAAAGCAACAGGGAACACAGUGCUUCAUGUCCAGCAUUGAGGCUAGUCUUAGGGUCAGUGUGACCUGCCCAUAUCGUCAAGAACCUUGAAUAGUGCAAACAGAUACUGCCCUUGCCUCUGGAGGAACAAUAGGACAAGUGCCUCUUCCAUCUCCUCCAUACAGAAGAUCAGACUGCACCCGUAUCCUCACAGGGAGUCUGCUAGGAUCUCCAGUGUGUUCCACCUCUCGGCAUCUCUGUAUUGCAUCACCUUAUAUCAAUGUCUUUUAAGGCAUGGCUCUGUGCACACCCACCAUCACUGUUUUCCUGGUGGUGUGGGCAGUGUGCUUUGUUUCUGCCAUUUCAUUAUUUGGGAAGCAAAAAGUCCCCUGUUUUGCAUUUUCUCCAUUAAAAAUAUAUCA